rnacentral:rRNA from 1 species
CCUACGGGAGGCAGCAGUGAGGAAUAUUGGUCAAUGGGCGGAAGCCUGAACCAGCCAAGUAGCGUGCGGGAUGAAGGCCCUACGGGUCGUAAUCUGCUUUUGCACGGGGAUAAAAUGCUCCACGUGUGGAGUUCUGCAGGUACCGUGCGAAUAAGGACCGGCUAAUUCCGUGCCAGCAGCCGCGGUAAUACGGAAGGCCCGGGCGUUAUCCGGAUUCAUUGGGGUUAAAGGGAGCGUAGGCGGGCGUUUAAGUCAGCGGUAAAAUCGCGGGGCUCAACCGCGCCCCGCAGUUGAAACUGGGCGGCUUGAGUGCGCGACAGGCAGGCGGAAUUCGUGGUGUAGCGGUGAAAUGCAUAGAUAUCACGAGGAACCCCGAUUGCGAAGGCAGCCUGCCGGGGCGCGACUGACGCUGAGGCUCGAAGGCGCGGGUAUCAAACAGGAUUAGAUACCCUUGUAGUC